AUUAAACGCUGGCGGCAUGCCUUACACAUGCAAGUCGAACGGCAGCACGGGAGCAAUCCUGGUGGCGAGUGGCGAACGGGUGAGUAAAGUAUCGGAACGUGCCCAGUCGUGGGGGAUAACGUAGCGAAAGUUACGCUAAUACCGCAUACGAUCUAUGGAUGAAAGCGGGGGAUCGCAAGACCUCGCGCGAUUGGAGCGGCCGGUAUCAGAUUAGGUAGGUGGUGGGGUAAAGGCUCACCAAGCCGACGAUCUGUAGCUGGUCCGAGAGGACGACCAGCCACACUGGGACUGAGACACGGCCCAGACUCCUACGGGAGGCAGCAGUGGGGAAUUUUGGACAAUGGGCGAAAGCCUGAUCCAGCCAUGCCGCGUGCAGGAUGAAGGUCUUCGGGUUGUAAACUGCUUUUGUACGGAACGAAAAGGUUUGGCCUAAUAAGCUGAGCUCAUGACGGUACCGUAAGAAUAAGCACCGGCUAACUACGUGCCAGCCGCCGCCGUAA
rnacentral:rRNA from 1 species